rnacentral:lncRNA from 1 species
GAGCAUUAACAACAUUAUUUUUAUGGUUCCUCAUUUAGAACUACUGGAAGGUUGCAGACUGUUUGGCUGGGUUUUGUAUUUAGAACCUAUCCAGAAUAUUGGCUGAUGCCACCAAGACCUUUUCCUCACCCACACAAAGAUUUUUGCCUUGAAUCAUGGAAUUUGUUUAAUAAAUUUGGUUUGCAUGGUUCAUUAUAGAGACCUGGGACACAAUGGAGGGAUAAUUGUAUUGCAGCCAUACCAGAAGGCUUUCAGAAUGUAUUUCAAAUGUAUACUGCAAGUGAAGCAGUAUCCAAGGAAAAAUAAGGAAGUUCCGUGAUCCCUAAUUGGUACUUACUCAUAUUUUAUUGAAAUAAGCAGAAAUG